rnacentral:rRNA from 1 species
GAUGAACGCUAGCUACAGGCUUAACACAUGCAAGUCGCGGGGCAGCAUGGGGGUUGCUUGCAAUCCCCGAUGGCGACCGGCGCACGGGUGAGUAACGCGUAUCCAACCUGCCCUUCACCACGGGAUAACCCGGCGAAAGUCGGACUAAUACCGUAUGUUGUCCAUUGACGGCAUCCGAUUUGGACGAAAGGUUUGGCGGUGAAGGAUGGGGAUGCGUCCGAUUAGCUGGACGGCGGGGGGACGGCCCACCGUGGCGACGAUCGGUAGGGGUUCUGAGAGGAAGGUCCCCCACACUGGAACUGAGACACGGUCCAGACUCCUACGGGAGGCAGCAGUGAGGAAUAUUGGUCAAUGGGCGUAAGCCUGAACCAGCCAAGUAGCGUGCAGGAUGACGGCCCUAUGGGUUGUAAACUGCUUUUAUGCGGGGAUAAAGUGGCCCACGUGUGGGUUUUUGCAGGUACCGCAUGAAUAAGGACCGGCUAAUUCCGUG